GCGCGCUUAGCUCAGUGGUAGAGCAUUACCUUCACACGGUAGGGGUCGUAGGUUCGAAACCUACAGCGCGCACCA
rnacentral:tRNA from 1 species